rnacentral:rRNA from 1 species
UUGCAUCAUGAUUUACAUUUGAGUGAGUGGCGAACUGGUGAGUAACACGUGGGAAACCUGCCCAGAAGCGGGGGAUAACACCUGGAAACAGAUGCUAAUACCGCAUAACAACUUGGACCGCAUGGUCCGAGUUUGAAAGAUGGCUUCGGCUAUCACUUUUGGAUGGUCCCGCGGCGUAUUAGCUAGAUGGUGGGGUAACGGCUCACCAUGGCAAUGAUACGUAGCCGACCUGAGAGGGUAAUCGGCCACAUUGGGACUGAGACACGGCCCAAACUCCUACGGGAGGCAGCAGUAGGGAAUCUUCCACAAUGGACGAAAGUCUGAUGGAGCAACGCCGCGUGAGUGAAGAAGGGUUUCGGCUCGUAAAACUCUGUUGUUAAAGAAGAACAUAUCUGAGAGUAACUGUUCAGGUAUUGACGGUAUUUAACCAGAAAGCCACGGCUAACUACGUGCCAGCAGCCGCGGUAAUACGUAGGUGGCAAGCGUUGUCCGGAUUUAUUGGGCGUAAAGCGAGCGCAGGCGGUUUUUUAAGUCUGAUGUGAAAGCCUUCGGCUCAACCGAAGAAGUGCAUCGGAAACUGGGAAACUUGAGUGCAGAAGAGGACAGUGGAACUCCAUGUGUAGCGGUGAAAUGCGUAGAUAUAUGGAAGAACACCAGUGGCGAAGGCGGCUGUCUGGUCUGUAACUGACGCUGAGGCUCGAAAGUAUGGGUAGCAAACAGGAUUAGAUACCCUGGUAGUCCAUACCGUAAACGAUGAAUGCUAAGUGUUGGAGGGUUUCCGCCCUUCAGUGCUGCAGCUAACGCAUUAAGCAUUCCGCCUGGGGAGUACGGCCGCAAGGCUGAAACUCAAAGGAAUUGACGGGGGCCCGCACAAGCGGUGGAGCAUGUGGUUUAAUUCGAAGCUACGCGAAGAACCUUACCAGGUCUUGACAUACUAUGCAAAUCUAAGAGAUUAGACGUUCCCUUCGGGGACAUGGAUACAGGUGGUGCAUGGUUGUCGUCAGCUCGUGUCGUGAGAUGUUGGGUUAAGUCCCGCAACGAGCGCAACCCUUAUUAUCAGUUGCCAGCAUUAAGUUGGGCACUCUGGUGAGACUGCCGGUGACAAACCGGAGGAAGGUGGGGAUGACGUCAAAUCAUCAUGCCCCUUAUGACCUGGGCUACACACGUGCUACAAUGGAUGGUACAACGAGUUGCGAACUCGCGAGAGUAAGCUAAUCUCUUAAAGCCAUUCUCAGUUCGGAUUGUAGGCUGCAACUCGCCUACAUGAAGUCGGAAUCGCUAGUAAUCGCGGAUCAGCAUGCCGCGGUGAAUACGUUCCCGGGCCUUGUACACACCGCCCGUC